UGGGGAAUAUUGGACAAUGGGCGAAAGCCUGAUCCAGCCAUGCCGCGUGUGUGAAGAAGGUCUUCGGAUUGUAAAGCACUUUAAGUUGGGAGGAAGGGCAGUAAGCGAAUACCUUGCUGUUUUGACGUUACCGACAGAAUAAGCACCGGCUAACUCUGUGCCAGCAGCCGCGGUAAUACAGAGGGUGCAAGCGUUAAUCGGAAUUACUGGGCGUAAAGCGCGCGUAGGUGGUUCGUUAAGUUGAAUGUGAAAGCCCCGGGCUCAACCCGGGAACUGCAUCCAGAACUGGCGAGCUAGAGUAGGGCAGAGGGUGGUGGAAUUUCCUGUGUAGCGGUGAAAUGCGUAGAUAUAGGAAGGAACACCAGUGGCGAAGGCGACCACCUGGGCUCAUACUGAAACUGAGGUGCGAAAGCGUGGGGAGCAAACAGG
rnacentral:rRNA from 1 species